UCUCUCCCAGCUCUGCUCAUUUACACCUAAUUUUGGUGGUGUAAUUGUCGUUAUUCGGGAGAGAAAUUAAAGGAGUAUCACUUGCACGGCAGAUAAGCCUUGUGUGGCAUACCUGUUCCUUUGUGAACUCUACAGUU